GAUGAACAACGUAGCGAAAUGCGAUAAGUAGUGUGAAUUGCAGAAUUCAGUGAAUCAUCGAAUCUUUGAACGCACAUUGCGCCCCAUGGUAUUCCGUGGGGCAUGCCUGUUCGAGCGUCAUUUACCCCCUCAAGCUCCGCUUGGUGUUGGGCGUCUGUCCCGCUUCGCGCGCGGACUCGCCCCAAAGGUAUUGGCAGCGGUCGUGCCAGCUUCUCGCGCAGCACAUUGCGCUUCUCGAGGCACCGGUGGGCCCGCGUCCAUCAAGCUCACCCCCCCAGUUUGACCUCGGAUCAGGUAGGGAUACCCGCUGAACUUAAGCAUAUCAAUAAGCGGAGGA
rnacentral:misc_RNA from 1 species